rnacentral:rRNA from 1 species
CAGUCGCCACGGUAAUACGUAGGUGGCAAGCAUUGUCCGGAAUUAUUGGGCGUAAAGGGCUCGCAGGCGGUUUCUUAAGUCUGAUGUGAAAGCCCCCGGCUCAACCGGGGAGGGUCAUUGGAAACUGGGAAACUUGAGUGCAGAAGAGGAGAGUGGAAUUCCACGUGUAGCGGUGAAAUGCGUAGAGAUGUGGAGGAACACCAGUGGCGAAGGCGACUCUCUGGUCUGUAACUGACGCUGAGGAGCGAAAGCGUGGGGAGCGAACAGGAUUAGAUACCCCGGUAGUCCCUGUCUCUUAUAC